GGAUCCAGACUUUGAUCAUGGCUCAGGAUGAACGCUAGCUACAGGCUUAACACAUGCAAGUCGAGGGGAAACGACAUCGAAAGCUUGCUUUUGAUGGGCGUCGACCGGCGCACGGGUGAGUAACGCGUAUCCAACCUGCCCACCACUUGGGGAUAACCUUGCGAAAGUAAGACUAAUACCCAAUGACGUCUCUAGAAGACAUCUGAAAGAGAUUAAAGAUUUAUCGGUGAUGGAUGGGGAUGCGUCUGAUUAGCUUGUUGGCGGGGUAACGGCCCACCAAGGCUACGAUCAGUAGGGGUUCUGAGAGGAAGGUCCCCCACAUUGGAACUGAGACACGGUCCAAACUCCUACGGGAGGCAGCAGUGAGGAAUAUUGGUCAAUGGACGAGAGUCUGAACCAGCCAAGUAGCGUGCAGGAUGACGGCUCUAUGGGUUGUAAACUGCUUUUAUAAGGGAAUAAAGUGAGCCUCGUGAGGCUUUUUGCAUGUACCUUAUGAAUAAGGACCGGCUAAUUCCGUGCCAGCAGCCCCGGUAAUACGGAAGGUCCGGGCGUUAUCCGGAUUUAUUGGGUUUAAAGGGAGCGUAGGCCGGAGAUUAAGCGUGUUGUGAAAUGUAGAUGCUCAACAUCUGCACUGCAGCGCGGACUGGUUUCCUUGAGUACGCACAAAGUGGGCGGAAUUCGUGGUGUAGCGGUGAAAUGCUUAGAUAUCACGAAGAACUCCGAUUGCGAAGGCAGCUCACUGGAGCGCAACUGACGCUGAAGCUCGAAAGUGCGGGUAUCGAACAGGAUAGAUACCCUGGUAGUCCGCACGGUAAACGAUGGAUGCCCGCUGUUGGUCUGAAUAGGUCAGCGGCCAAGCGAAAGCAUUAAGCAUCCCACCUGGGGAGUACGCCGGCAACGGUGCAACUCAGAGGAAUUGACGG
rnacentral:rRNA from 1 species